GGCCGCUGAAUUUCUAAGCGAUGGGCCUGCCUUCAAAUCUGCAUAUCGUUCACUCCUGCAGCCACCUUCUUUCUUUUUCAAGCCCAGUGGAUGAACUGCAAAUUUGCAGAAGCUCUAGGAAUGAAGAGAAUUUUGAUAUAUAAGGUUUAUAUUGAUGGAACAACAACAAUGUUAACCAGUGAAAAGAAAGCAAGCAUUAAGCAAUUUUAUGGUACAGGAGAAAGAAGAUGAAAAGCAGAAGCAUUUAUCUGUGGCGGACAUUGAAAGAUAGGAGGAGUGCAUGCUGCCGAAUAGCGAGUUUGUGUUACCCAACUGUUACCAUUGCGUGUGCUUGAGCAGUUUUAAUGAAUGUAAAUCAAAAUUAGAGUGGUGUCAUUUUGGCGGAAGUAGCCUCAUGAAAGUGGUUAAAGAUGGAACUGUGGGUCUAUAGUUGAUUUGGCAACCGUAUUUGAAGAAAAUCAUCGUCGCUUAUCCAUCUAUUUAGAUCUGCUUCCUUGCAUCCCUUAAUAUAAUUGUUUUUCCGUCUGUUCUCUUAUUUUGUCGCUUCUCAUAUUUGAGAAACUUUUCAUAUUUUUGUACAAACUCUUCCUAGAAUUGCUCAAUUGUGAUGGUAAAUUC